UACGUAGGCAGCGAGCGUUGUUCGGAAUUACUGGGCGUAAAGAGUGUGUAGGCGGUGCUCUAAGUUCGGUGUGAAAUCUCCUGGCUUAACUGGGAGGGUGCGCCGGAAACUGGAGUGCUUGAGCGUGGGAGAGGAAAGCGGAAUUCCUGGUGUAGCGGUGAAAUGCGUAGAUAUCAGGAGGAACACCUGUGGGGUAGACGGCUUUCUGGACCAUAGCUGACGCUGAGACACGAAAGCGUGGGUAGCAAACAGG
rnacentral:rRNA from 1 species